CUUAGCUAACGUGGUGAACUGAAACAUCUAAGUAACCACAGGAAGAGAAAGAAAAAUCGAUUUCCUCAGUAGCGGCGAGCGAACGGGAAUUAGCCCAAACCGUCGAGGUUUCCUCGGCGGGGUUGUAGGGCCCUUCACAUGAGAGUCAUAAAACUGUUUAGAAGCAGAAGUCUUUGGAAAGAGACACCGCAGAGGGUGACAGUCCCGUAAGCGAAUCUAAGCAGUCUCUCGAGGGGUACCUGAGUAGGUCGGGUCACGUGAAACCCCGACUGAAUCCACGGGGACCAUCCCGUAAGGCUAAACACAACCUAAUGACCGAUAGUGAACUCAGUAUGGUGACUGAAAGAUGAGAAGAACCCCUGUUAGGGGAGGUAUGUGAACCUGAAACCAUACGCUUACAAGCGGUCGGAGCACUAUUUUAAUGUGUGACGGCGUGCCUUUUGCAUAAUGAUCCG
rnacentral:rRNA from 1 species